ACCCGACCCGACAACAUCCGGGGAGAGUCAGAGAGAAGGCGGGAGAGAGCGUGUGGGAGAGGGAGGUUCCCGCUCACGCGAAUCUGCUUCACUGCAAGCCGGAAGGCGUAAGGCGAGGCCGGGCAAAGGCACCCAGCAUUCUCUAAUCUUUACAGCACAGGUGGCCUCAGCCCAACUACUGCUUCGGUGUCGUCUGAUGUGAUUGUCAGGAUUUUAAUGCGGCGAUAUGGGAUAGGAAAUGGGGCGGACGGCUGCUGUGAUCACAUGGCGUUUGCAGCUGGUUCUCUUGAGACCUGCAUCCCUUUUCCUUCUGACCCAGCUCCCUGUAUUUGUAGUCUUUAUUUUAAUCUCUCUCUCUCUCUCUCUCUCUCUCUCUCUCUCUCUCUUUAAUUGUCUUUUCCAGCUUAACAUUUAUUUCAACUCCCAAACUUGUGCCUGAGCUGUGUUGGUUUUUUAAGCAAUUAGCUUAGUCCUAGCUAGAGUUGUUUCUGGUGUGGCUAUUUGUUUCUUAAUUGAAUCGUUCUGGUUUUUAACUGAUGGGUUUUGCUUCUCAUGGCCCUGUUUUAGCUAAGAGCGAUUAUGGGACUAGCUUUCACCUUUUUGUGUUUAGAAUUUUAGACUCUCUCUCUCUCUAACGGGGAGGGGAAUGGGCUGCUGCAAUGCAAUAUUACCCGGACGGUUGGCUUUACCAUUUGGGCUGGCCGUAGCUCUUAAGGUAGCAAUUACGCAGAUAACGAUUUCAUUCUGUUCUCGGUGCCAAUUCAUAUAGUAACCCAUGAAUCUCGGCUUCCAACUGAAUUUCUCCAUCCAUCUCCUAAAAGUCAAUUGGUCAUCGGAUUUGAUUGUGAGGGUGUUGACCUCUGCCGACAUGGAACUCUUUGCAUGAUGCAGCUGGCGUAUUCUCUGAUAGAGGAACAGCACGGACAGAAAAGAUCAUCAUGUGAAAACAUUUCAUUUAUGCGCCUCAUUGCAGAUCGACGCUAUUGAGGUAUGACAUCCUUGUAUUCUAAGAAGUUUAAUUCCUUUCGAAUGGUUAGGGUAGAGUUCAUGUACCUAUGCCUGAUUGGUGGUAUUCUUGUUCUUAUCCCACUAUGAAAGCUACAUUAUCUGUUAAUAGUUCCUAUAUGCAGCCAACAUCUGGUAUUCUUGUCCCCACCCCACCCCACCCCCACCCCCAGGGGUCUCAACAUGAGGAAAGGGGAAGAAAAAGGGGAAGGUGGUGAAUGUCUGGGUGCUAGCGUUGAAAUGAACUUCUCAAUCCAGAUAAGCUUCUGAUACUACGAGGCAAGAACAUUUCGAGGGAGAAUAAUUUGUUUGUGUGUAACUUUUUUUCUCAUUUGCCCCAUUGAUGAGGGAGCAUAUCUACACUUUCAUUGGGUUCAUGACCAAUAGUAGAGCAACUGUUGAACUCUGAAGAUAUUCUUCAUCAAGUUUGGUGAUCUGGGUAUUAAGUUAUGGCGUUACACCAAAUACUUACGAGGUCUUGGUAUAUCCUAUUUUGAGAAGAAAGAAGUUCGCGCACUUCUGAGAGAGGUCAGCUUCGACUACAAAACUCUCAGCCUAGCUGACCUGGCUUUGUAUGAAAUGUCUAUUGGCUCUUUCUGAUUCCUGACAAGCACAACCCACCACAUACACAAGCAUGUCAUUAUCAUGGGACCUGUAAAGCAGGUGCGCAAAGCAGAAGCCAUGUUGAGGGGGAGAAUGUUGGGAAGUCAAACCUGAUUUUGUACAUGCAGAAGCUGACAUCUGACUAAUUGCUUAAUUCGAAAUGUCUUCCUUCUGAUCUGUGGAAAGCAAUUGGUCCUAAUGCAGAAUUUCUAUUAAAAGUUUCUUGCCAGAAAAUGGUUCGAAGGUCACUUAAAAUUCUGAUCCUGGCAUUGUUGUGAACUUGUGGUGUGGUUGACUGGCGGUGCAAUGGAUUAAUUUGUGCGGCGAGCAAUAUUUUGAUUGACUUGGACAAUUAGAAGUUGAAGUGGGUUUGGUUGUCUUUUACUUGAUGUUCCUCUCCUGGGGAGCCCAGCAUUGCUUCGAGGUUUGGGUUUAGUAAUGAUGCAUCCUUGAGGAUGUCAUGACUGUUCCUGUGUCCAGGGAGGAAAUGUUUGAGGACGCUCAUGAAUGGGCACCAUCAUAUCACGGUAUCAUGCUCGCAGUGUACCAUGUAGUUUGUGACUGACUAAUAUGUUACGCCUUCUUCUGGGCCAAUUUGAUCACCUUUAGCUUGGGAAUUCUAGGAUCUCCUGACUGGACUGACCCAAAUUCUAGAAAAUGUCAUGACAGCGACGGGGCAUUGUGAAAGGGAUAACAGAUCCAACCAGGAAUUUUGGCAUCUCUCUCGUGUUGGGGGCCGAGGUUCCAGCAUCCAUUGGAUGUGACAAAUUUUGCUGUACAUGCAUCCAGACGCUGAACGAGCACUCGGGAUUAUGAAAUGAAGUUGUCAGUAUUGGCACUAAAUACCCUGAUAGUUGCCAUGACAACAACAAAAUGACAUUUAGGAGUGUUAGCAGUACCGACAUGCCCAUCUUUCACUUCAGUUCUAGUAGCUUCAUUAAGCUGUCACAGGUCAAUUAAGGCAGCUAGCUAGCACUAGGCUCUAACAUGUCCAUUAAAUCCGGUGGACGGUUGCCAAUUUUUAAGGGAUUAGUUUCUCACUUUUCAUUAACUUUUGCAAUCUACUAUUUGCAUUCUAAACUCAAUACUAACGGUGUGCCUUGAAAAAUUAGAGAUUUUGGA